CAAUCCUGGCUGCGCGGUGGGCUCGCCUGGAGAGCUUUGAAAACUCCUGGAACCAAGACCACACCCGGAACAAUGACAUCGGGCAGUUUACGAGGUGGCUCCCAACGAGGUCACUCUGGGGGAAGCCAGCUGACAUACUGUGAGGGCACUCAACAGCCUUCUAGAGAAAUAGCCUCCUACCAAUAGCCAGCAAGGAACUGAGGCUAUUUCCAACAGCCAGGCAUUUCCAGUGAUCCAGGAAUUUAGAGAACGAACAUGCCUCAUGAAGGU